rnacentral:rRNA from 1 species
CUACGGGUCGCUGCAGUGGGGAAUAUUGCACAAUGGGCGAAAGCCUGAUGCAGCAACGCCGCGUGAGGGACGACGGCCUUCGGGUUGUAAACCUCUUUUAGCAGGGAAGAAGCGAAAGUGACGGUACCUGCAGAAAAAGCACCGGCUAACUACGGUGCCAGCAGCCGCGGUAAUACGUAGGGUGCAAGCGUUGUCCGGAAUUAUUGGGCGUAAAGAGCUCGUAGGCGGUUUGUCGCGUCUGCUGUGAAAAUCCGAGGCUCAACCUCGGACCUGCAGUGGGUACGGGCAAACUAGAGUGCGGUAGGGGAGAUUGGAAUUCCUGGUGUAGCGGUGGAAUGCGCAGAUAUCAGGAGGAACACCAAUGGCGAAGGCAGAUCUCUGGGCCGUAACUGACGCUGAGGAGCGAAAGCGUGGGGAGCGAACAGGAUUAGAUACCCCUGUAGUC